rnacentral:lncRNA from 1 species
AUCACAGAUUGGUUCUUUGCAGGUUCUUUGGUUGUCUUCCAGAUCACAUGUGCUUAAGUGACUUGAUGGAAUAUGGAAGUUCCUGAAAAAUACAAAAGCAUUGAAAUCAGAAUCAGUGAUCAAACGUGUUUCUUCUUUGCGCUUUUAAUAUUUUUACUGUCAAUACAGCAUUAAAGUUAGAAAAAACUAGCAGAUAGCAAAAGCAUGACAUGUCCUUCAGAGCAGAUGUUCUGGGACUGAUGGCUACAAAUCAAACCAAUCCAAAGAGCUGCAUAGCCACCACCCAUAGUGUUGACAACAAUUAUCCAAUUUAGUAAGGAAUGAAUGGCCACAAUCUUACCCUUCCUUCUUCAAAAGACUCACAUUAGCCCAACUAUAUGCAGCAAUAACUAAAUAUGCAGCAGCACUGAAGUUCUUUAGGACAUAUUCUGAACUUUAUUACAUAGUUUACACACAAUGAUUCCACACCUCCAACAUGUUAUUCUUUCUAUAAAAGGCUGCGAAUAGUGACCUUUAUGUAUAUGACAUGUGCCAACUUCAGCCGUGCUCUCUCUGUGCAGACAAACACUGGCUAUUUUUAAGCACAGCAGGAUACCUGCUAUGCUGGCAUGCUGUUAGAGGCCAUGAGAACCACUCCAGGUCCCUCUAGACAGCCGUGGCAAACACAAAUCCUCAGUGUGGGACCCGGGAAUCCAGCGUCUGAAAGUAAAGUCAAGUGAGUUUUUGAGGUAACCCAAUUUAUUUUUCAGCAGAAAGACACAAAAAAAUCUCACCAAAGUAAGUCAAGUCCUCAGAUCCAUGUUCAACUUCACUGGUGUGUCCACAGUCCAGCUCAGAAUGGACCAAAAUAGAUGCACACGUCUGUGUGGCCAAACCAAGCAGCAACACAACUAGCUAGCACACUGGAAUAACUAAAGGGUGUCAAGUGGCAGGGAAGGACAGGGCAGCAGGAUGAAAUAAACACGGUCAUUGGUUAUUUUUGUAACCAAGCAGUCAGGGCUGAUAGGCUCCUGCUUGAACCCUCUCCCGACUGUUCGGCAUCAUUUGUGAGAUCACAGUCUCGUUACAGACAAAAGAGGGUUGUGCGGGUGCCGAACACGAAAGGCCAAUAUUUAGGUUGUGACUCAUUAUGACCGUAUCACAUGGAGGAAACUUGUCUCAGACAGUUAGACUGAAGGUCCCUGAAGUGGACAGUGGGAGGCAUGCGUCCUCUGACUGAUAUAUGUCGGGUUGUUGAUCCAGCUCUUUACACGAGUUGUGGACAUGGAUGUGUAGUCUAGUUUUAGGACAAGAACAGCUGUUGUUGUGAGAUUAAGCUGAAACGCUGAUUUGUUAACCUCUGUAACUCAGAGGAAGUUAAUGGGUGAGGUCAAAUGUGACCAAACUUUUGGCAGGAUAUGUUGGUUCCUUCAAUGAUAGUCCUCAGCUCACACACAUAUGUGUUAAAUGCUCAUGUAUGCAGCCAUGGCUUAUAAAUGAUUACACUGAAAAUCAUGUAGACCAUUAAAUCUUAUCAUGACAGCUUGACUUGUUAUUAAAAGUCUACUUUUUUUUUACCGUAAACAAAAGGUGAAUUUAACAAACACACCUAUUUUUCAUUUUUAUAUUUAUAAUUGUGCACACACACAAAUAUAUACAUAUAGAGAGAGAGAGACAGACAGACAUAUAAAAAGAGAUAUAGAUAAAGAUAUAAACAUUUUAUGACUGGUCAGUCUGC